rnacentral:lncRNA from 1 species
GGGAUUAAGCCCAGGGGUGCUCACUGUGAGGUAUAUUUCCUAGUCCUUUUAAAAAAUUUUUAUUUUGUGAUAUGGGCUCACUAAGUUGCUGAAGGUAACCUUGAACUUGGCUAUCCUUCUGCCUCAGCCUCCUGAACCCAGUGAGGAAUUAUUCUUAGUGAUGUACAUGCUCUAAAUCUAGAUGAGUGUAUAUCUUUGUAAAUAAUUAAUGAGCUGUACCCUAGUGAAAAUAAAGAGAUACGCAUUAGCUAGGUGAGAGGAGGGGAAAGGUUUCAGGCAGAGAGAAGAGCAUGUGGGUGAACCCCUGGGGCAGGGGCUGGGGUAAGUACCACAGACUGGAGGAAAAACCAGUGUGGCAGGAGCAGCUGAGCACGAGGCUGUGCACUAGUCACCUUGGUGUUGCUGUAACCACUGCCUGAGAUCGUCCACACCUGAAGGUUCACUUUGGCUUCCAGCAGAUCAUGGAGGAGCCGGGGCCGAGCGGAGCCGCUCACCUCAAGGCCCAGAAGUGAAAGAAAAGGAAGAGAUGAGGGGCCACUGUUCCCUUCACGGGCAUGCCCAGAGUGGCCAGAAGACCUCCCACUAGGUCCCGUC